GUGUCAGCAGCCGCGGUAAUACGUAGGGGGCGAGCGUUGUCCGGAUUUAUUGGGCGUAAAGAGCGUGUAGGCGGUUCGGUAAGUCUGUCGUGAAAUCCUGAGGCUCAACCUCGGGCGUGCGAUGGAUACUGCCGGGCUAGAGGGUGGUAGAGGCGAGUGGAAUUCCCGGUGUAGCGGUGAAAUGCGCAGAUAUCGGGAGGAACACCAGUAGCGAAGGCGGCUCGCUGGGCCACACCUGACGCUGAGACGCGAAAGCUAGGGGAGCGAACAGGAUUAGAUACCCUGGUAGUCC
rnacentral:rRNA from 1 species